ensembl:lncRNA
UGCUAAUUUGGUGACUGCCCUCCAGACUGACCCUCCUCUGUUUGUGCUCGUAUCUGGAUCUUCUCCCGCCUCUCCAUCCAUCCACUUCUACUGCUGGGCUUUGUUCUGUGCUGGUGACUGGGCUUAUUUCUAGAGGCAAGGGACACUUACUUUCUACUCCCAUCAAGGUAUACAUUCAGAAAUAAGAUCCUGCAAGAAACCUUCCUAACUUAAAGCUAAUUUAGAUGUUUGUAACUUCAGAGACCUAUGUAGCUGCUAAGCUUAACAGCAACCCACCUGAAAUGAUAGCUUUUGUACAAGAAAAUGGUAUAGAAAAACACAUCCUUGAGAGAGAUAACUACAUGAAAAUGCCAGACUGUUCAAUACAACAUUUUGCUGAGAUGUAAGAAAAUGGAAUAAGAGAUUCUUUCAGUUCAGUUCAGUCACUCAGUCGUGUCUGACUCUCUGCGACCCCAUGAAUCGCAGCACGCCAGGCC